CAGCUUACAGCUGUCCUGGGCGGCACAGAGCGUGGUGAAAGGCGGAUCGUGGCCUUCUUCCUCGGGCCCUCCCGGCCUUCCAGCCUCGGGGUGGUGGGAACAUCCUGACUUGACCAUGGGCUGACCUCAAGAACAAAGGCUCUGACACCAUGAAGUCUGCAACAACUACCUGCCCCCCUGCCAUUCCUAGAAAAGGGCUUUGCUGAAAAGUUUUGGGGAGUUCAGGGUUUUUAAGGCAUGAGCCUCCUCCCUCCUUGCAGGGCCCUGCAAUAAACCUUUCUCUGCUCCAGA